rnacentral:rRNA from 1 species
UACAGAGGUCUCAAGCGUUGUUCGGAUUCAUUGGGCGUAAAGGGUGCGUAGGCGGCGCGGUGAGUCGGGUGUGAAAUCUCGGAGCUUAACUCCGAAACUGCAUUCGAUACUGCCGUGCUUGAGGACUGGAGAGGAGACUGGAAUUUACGGUGUAGCGGUGAAAUGCGUAGAUAUCGUAAGGAAGACCAGUGGCGAAGGCGGGUCUCUGGACAGUUCCUGACGCUGAGGCACGAAGGCCAGGGGAGCAAACGGG